rnacentral:tRNA from 1 species
GGUCGGGUGCCAGAGUGGUCUAAUGGAGCGGAUUGCAAAUCCGCGAUUCGUGGGUUCGAAUCCCACCCCGACCU